GAGAGGGGAAUAAAGGAGGGGUGGCGGAGACAUUGUGAUUUUCUUCUUCUUCUUUCUUAUUUAAUUGGUCCUCCGGGAUCCGGGGCGAGUCCUCCGUUCGCAGCUGCGCAGCUUUAAUUGGCUGGAGAUUCCACCAAAACACUAUUGGAAAAAGCUGAGAGUUUAUACAGUUUAGACCCCGGUCCCUUCUGAUAAGCCCACUCGUUACCGAGAGCGCCGCUGGACGAGCUUUACGCGGAGGCUCUCCAGAAGCCCUUUCAGAUCUCAGACGCGCAUCAGCCAGUGAGAUCUGCGCGCGCGUCUCCACACCGACGCGCAACCUCUCCGUCCGCCUCACUCUUCGGAGAGCCAUCGACGAGCGCGCAUCCGGUAGGAGAGCAUCACAGGACAAGAGUUUCGGGCAGAGCUCGCGCCGGACCCCCGCUUUUCCACGAUUUCGCCCCUGGAUGCGUGCACGCGCGCCGCCUUCGAGACUUUCCCGUCAGUUGAAGUUGCUCGCAAGAAUGUGUUGGAAUUUCGUCUUUAUCUUCUGGACGGAGAGACGUCGGUGCGCUCGCGCUGAACACGCAACAAACUAAACGCCCGGGAACUCCAGCGUUCCGCAGAAAAGUCGUUCUUUUCUAAAGGGGAUUAUUUCGAAGGGCGGCGAUCUUACAGGCUCGAACCCCGCGCGGAGAAAAGGUAAUGAGGGAUCGCACCUGAAGAUGGAGCUUUUCUGGAUUUUAUUAUUUUCUGUAUUCCAUCGCUACGUGCAAACGCAAGGAGUUUACGCUCCUGCGAACGCUCAGAUUGUGCAUUCUGGGCAGACGUGUGUGGUGAAGGAGGACAACAUCAGUGAAAGGAUCUACACCAUCAGAGAAGGGGACACUUUAGUUCUGCAGUGUCUGGUCAAAGGACACCC